UUUUCUGCACUUGUUUCUUCUCUCUUCAAAACCGUGAGCCACUCUCUUCCAUUUCCAAUCAAUUUCUCUUCAUUUCUCAACCAUUUUUAUGCCAAGAUCAAUCUCUUAAACCAUUACCCAUGCAUUUAACCUUCAUUAAACACUUUCUUCACUUGUUCUUCAUCAUUUCUCACGCGUGAACAGUACCUCUCCAUUUCUCUCUCAAAUUUCUUCAUCUUUCACUCAUUCUCUUGCCAAAAUCAAUCAUCCAAAUCAUUAUUCAUCCAUUACUCUUUCAAUUUUCGUUCUCAAAACUUCAUUUCAUCAACUCUCCACAUAAAACCCAAAAUCAAAAACCUAACUACCCGUUUCUCUCUCUACAUUUUCAAGCUUCCUUUAGCCCAUUUUUGAUCCAAUCUACAUCAUAUAUUAGCUUCAUUCAUCUCUAGGAUCGAUUUUCUUGGCUCAAACAAAUCCAUUUCACUCAAUUUUUGGAAACCCGAAAUUGGAUCUUUAAGCUUGUUUUUGUUCCAACAAUGGUGGAUGGUGAUAAAUCCAUGAGCAAACAAGUUGCCAAGAGAUGUAAUGACAAUUAUGGAGGUAAUACGGAGUUCAUAUCAACCCACUUUUAGCAUCUACCUCUACGGAAACGGUUUUACGACAAUUUUAUGUUGAGGUCGAUUAUAGCUCCUUAUUUUGUUAACAUUCGUAAUUUGAAGAAUUUAGAAAUUUGUGACAAAUCUCUUAGUUAUUUUCUCAUUGCUAUGGGCUAGAAAAAUGUUUUAGUUAUUAAGGAGCAAUACUAUGAAAAUUUAGUUAAGGUGUUUUAUUCGAAUAUGAUUAUGGGAUCCUCGAAUAUAAUUGUUACAAGUGUUGGGGGAAUUCAUAUUGAAUUUGAUGAUUGAUGAUUAUAUAUGUGUCGCUUGAAGAAUUGGAGUUGUUGGUUUGUUAUAAUUGUUUAAGCUUAUAUGGAAGUGUUUUUAACCAUGUUGUAUAUUUAAGGAUUUGUUCAUUUUAAGGGGAGACUCUGUCGAAAUUUUUGC
rnacentral:lncRNA from 1 species